rnacentral:lncRNA from 1 species
UGCACGAUUCAUAAUAAUAAAGAAUAGCAUAGUAGCUUGAAAAUGACGAUCACAUUCAUAAUUUUGCUUCAUUUCCUUUCUUGCAUUUAAGCAAGAGUAUAGAUGGUCACAUAAAGGUAGGAAGGUGUAACAUUACUAGCUAGCCAGCCAGCUAUCUACAUCAUUCAAUGGGGAAACACAAGUGUGGCCCUUCAAUGUGCUAGUAGACAUGUGCUACCCACAAACAACCCAUUAAUUUGGUUAAGAUUCACAUCUCUCAGGAUGAAAUUCAGGCUUCAUCAUAUUUGAUUAUGGAAUAGGGAGAGAAAGGGGUUCGUAUGAAAAUGAUGUUUAAAACACACACAGCAUAAUUGAUGGCAGAAAUGGACAACUCUAGUACUUUGUGUUGUUUAGCACCAGGAAAUUUUGAUAAGGUUGCGGCCUUGCAGGAUCCUUAUAAUAGAGAAAGCCUUGUCUCCACACUUGGGUUUCGGAGUCACUUUCUGAUGGCAACUGAAAUCAAC